UACAGAGGGUGCGAGCGUUAAUCGGAAUUACUGGGCGUAAAGCGCGCGUAGGCGGCUUUGCAAGUCGGGUGUGAAAUCCCCAAGCUUAACUUGGGAACUGCAUUCGAGACUGCAUUGCUAGAGUAUGGGAGAGGGAAGUGGAAUUUCCGGUGUAGCGGUGAAAUGCGUAGAUAUCGGGAGGAACACCAGUGGCGAAGGCGACUACCUGGCCUGUUCUUGACGCUGAGGCGCGAAAGCUAGGGGAGCAAACGGG
rnacentral:rRNA from 1 species